rnacentral:rRNA from 1 species
UACGAAGGGGGCUAGCGUUGCACGGAAUCACUGGGCGUAAAGGGUGCGUAGGCGGGUCUUUAAGUCAGACGUGAAAUCCCUCGGCUUAACCGGGGAACUGCGUCUGAUACUGGAUGGCUUGAGGUUGGGAGAGGGAUGCGGAAUUCCAGGUGUAGCGGUGAAAUGCGUAGAUAUCUGGAGGAACACCGGUGGCGAAGGCGGCAUCCUGGACCAAUUCUGACGCUGAGGAGCGAAAGCCAGGGGAGCAAACGGG